AUUGAACGCUGGCGGCAUGCCUUACACAUGCAAGUCGAACGGCAGCACGGGUGCUUGCACCUGGUGGCGAGUGGCGAACGGGUGAGUAAUACAUCGGAACAUGUCCUGUAGUGGGGGAUAGCCCGGCGAAAGCCGGAUUAAUACCGCAUACGAUCUACGGAUGAAAGCGGGGGACCUUCGGGCCUCGCGCUAUCGGGUUGGCCGAUGGCUGAUUAGCUAGUUGGUGGGGUAAAGGCCUACCAAGGCGACGAUCAGUAGCUGGUCUGAGAGGACGACCAGCCACACUGGGACUGAGACACGGCCCAAACUCCUACGGGAGGCAGCAGUGGGGAAUUUUGGACAAUGGGCGAAAGCCUGAUCCAGCAAUGCCGCGUGUGUGAAGAAGGCCUUCGGGUUGUAAAGCACUUUUGUCCGGAAAGAAAUCCUUGGCCCUAAUACGGUCGGGGGAUGACGGUACCGGAAGAAUAAGCACCGGCUAACUACGUG
rnacentral:rRNA from 1 species